UUGAACGCUGGCGGAAUGCUUUACACAUGCAAGUCGAGCGGCAGCGCGGGGCAACCUGGCGGCGAGCGGCGAACGGGUGAGUAAUAUAUCGGAACGUACCCUGUCGUGGGGGAUAACACAUCGAAAGAUGUGCUAAUACCGCAUACGACCUGAGGGUGAAAGCGGGGGAUCGCAAGACCUCGCGCGAUAGGAGCGGCCGAUAUCGGAUUAGCUAGUUGGUGAGGUAAAGGCUCACCAAGGCGACGAUCCGUAGCUGGUCUGAGAGGACGACCAGCCACACUGGAACUGAGACACGGUCCAGACUCCUACGGGAGGCAGCAGUGGGGAAUUUUGGACAAUGGGGGAAACCCUGAUCCAGCCAUUCCGCGUGAGUGAAGAAGGCCUUCGGGUUGUAAAGCUCUUUUAGAGAGGAUGAGGAAGGACGGUACUCUCUGAAUAAGUCUCGGCUAACUACGU
rnacentral:rRNA from 1 species